GCUGGGUGUGGGGGUGCAUGCCUGUAACCCCAGCAACUCAGGAGGCUGAGGCAGGAGGAUCUCAGAUUCAAAGCCAGCCUCAG
rnacentral:sRNA from 1 species